rnacentral:rRNA from 1 species
UGGGGAAUAUUGGACAAUGGGCGCAAGCCUGAUCCAGCAAUGCCGCGUGGGUGAAGAAGGUCUUCGGAUUGUAAAGCCCUUUCGGCGGGGACGAUGAUGACGGUACCCGCAGAAGAAGCCCCGGCUAACUUCGUGCCAGCAGCCGCGGUAAUACGAAGGGGGCUAGCGUUGCUCGGAAUUACUGGGCGUAAAGGGCGCGUAGGCGGCUGUGUUAGUCAGGCGUGAAAUUCCUGGGCUCAACCUGGGGAUGGCGCUUGAGACGGCAUGGCUUGAGGACGGAAGAGGCUCGCGGAAUUCCCAGUGUAGAGGUGAAAUUCGUAGAUAUUGGGAAGAACACCGGUGGCGAAGGCGGCGAGCUGGUCCGUAUCUGACGCUGAGGCGCGACAGCGUGGGGAGCAAACAGG